AAACUCUGGAAAGUCUUAUGACACCCAAGAAGCAAUCUUUUUAGUUAACUAUUAAAAGAGAAUCUUUCAGGUAAAAUAACAGAGGCGAAUUG
rnacentral:ncRNA from 1 species